rnacentral:lncRNA from 1 species
CAUUUUAUCACUGAAAGAUAAAAUACAUUAUUCUCCACAAACGCACAGUUGAGUCCUACACUUUCUUUUAUCAGCUGAUGGUUGCUAUGGUGUAGGAAAAGUAAACAUAUCGAUUGGCCUAAUUGCAGUUUGCCGCCCCCUGAUGGCAUAAAGCCAAAAGCGAUGUUCUUGGCAUAAGGAUGGAUGCUUUUUGCUAAGUUGGUACAAAUGUAUUAAGUUCACGUGCGCGCAUUGACGCGCUAAGUGCAUUUGGGGCAAGAAAGGCCAGUUCGGCGUAGCUUUUUGAGACCGCUACAUCAAAAAUAAAUUUCUCCGGGAAUAUUUCGUUUUUCGCUUAUAUUUCCAUGGGUGUUUCGUUCAUAAUUGAACAUCGUUUGGUGAAUUGUCUCCGGGAUGGUAUAUGAUUUUUGUUAUACAACUGGCUGCAGUGAUCUUGUGAGUUUUUGCAACUUUUCGUCAUUUCGAUGCUUCGCCCAGCCGUGGGCGUGAUGCCGUACGCUGAGCAGAGUGGGCCCUACACCUGGUGACUGCAGUCUGCUAAAUCAUCAGACAGAUCGUACUUAAUUUACUUCAUGUGCGUUUCUUCAGCUGACUUGAACUUUCAGUUAUUUGUUCAACCUCUUGGUGAGGUUUUGGAGAUCGUGAUUAGUCCAUCAGUGAAGCUUGUGUGCUUGAAUCAUGUUCUGUCGUUAGUCUACGAAUACUGAAGUACGCAACGUUAUGACCGGCGGAGUACGGUCGGCGAAUCCCCCGCCUAGAUUUCAGUCCACCCGGUACCGGCUGAGGUUCACGGCAUGCUUGGCCGCGGAAACGCGGGAGUGCAGUGUGAAACCACGUCUAUAUGCAGGCCUGAACGCUGUUCAAGACGUCCAGGUCCCGGGAUUUUUUCCUGCGUUUAUACAGUAUUGGACAUCAUGCGCAAACAUGCUAUCAUGGAUGGAAUUCGAGGUGAGAAUUUUCCAAUUAUAGCCCUGGUUUCGGGCCAAUUUUUGUCAGUGUUGCUGUGUAGUUUAGUGUGAAGUUUUUGGGGCUCCGCACCCGUGAUUCAAAGAGGCUCGGCCUCACUGCCAACCAUACCGUAGGCGAGAAUGAAUCGAUCGUGCUGGAUUGAUAUUUGAGUAGGGCCAAGAUAAUUGAAUGGUACAAUUAAGAUGGACCGACUAUAAUUGUUGUGAAGUUGAAUGACAACUGAAAUAAAUGUCCGAAAAAGAUGAUGUUUGAAUUCAAUGUCCCUUAUCAGUGUUGACAAAUUUUGGCAGAUCUGGUUAAAAUUCAGUCAUUCGGAAUAUGGGGGAGAAAGGCUACUCAUACUCAGAUACAUUUUGAUGGAGCCUCCUAAUUAUUUGCCUGCAGUGAGUUUGUUCCAUUUUUCUAUAGUAAACUAUUGGAACCAAGCAAGUAAUUUUCCGGGCGAGUGCUGGAAUUUUAUUAAAUCUGAGUAGGCCUAGGCCUAUAGCUGAUUCUUUCUUCAUCUGUUUCUACAAAAAUAAAUAGGCCUAGGGCCUAUAACCUGACCAUUCUCCUCCCUUCAUGGGCGCAAUGGUAAAAUUCCAAUAUAAUCAAAUAAAUUUAUAAAUUAUAAAUAGGGCCUAAAUAAAUAAACGCAUGUUUAAAAAGAAAAGAAAAAUAUGAAAUGGAUAGCUGCUGCUUUGAGUAUUGUUUUUUACAGGAUGCCACGGCAAGGCGGACGCUGCAAAUUGGUUGGGGACAGGAACUUUUACCAUUGAAUACUCUGCGGGUUGUCUUCCAAGUUCGGAAGCCUAUAGCAAGGUCGGUGGGUUACUGAUGAUCGCUCAGCAACUUGGUAACGUGCAGAAUAUCAACUGUUGCCGAAUUAAAUGCACUCAUCAGGAAACUGCCUUAACACAGAAGGAGUCGCAUACUUCUACUUUGCGAACAUGAUCUGUUAAUUUCUACAGACAUCUGUUUGAAUUUAAUCAGCAUAGGAUGCAAUAGAUGUUUCCUGAUACAUUCAGAAGAAGCAUGAAAAGUAAUAUUCCUGGUGGUCUUUAAGACACAAGUGUAUUGUGUCACUGAUGUGAUUUAGGAAUGUUUCUAAUAUUUUAACCACGCGUUUUACAGUGUAGCAAAUACGGCGGCUGAUUGACCCAGAUCAGAUCUUUAACAUCAUGUAUGGUUUGAAUUUUGGUAAGCAUUGUAAAUAUCAACAAGGAAUUGAUAAUUUUGGUUGGACACAUUCAGGCACAUGUAUACAUAGUAUAAUUUCCAAGGUAUAUGCACCAUAACACAUUUUCAAGUUUGAAUCCACCCCUUAGAAUUUUGGUGUAGGUGGGCGUAUAUUAGACAUGGCUGCUUUUGUAUGGUACAGGUUUCCAAAGGUAACCAGGAGAGUACCCAGCAUAUUGAUUCAAAGUAGUGCAUUGCGGUGGUGCAUAGCUUUUUUCAAGGUGUAUUAAUACUUUAAAUAUAAUAUUUGAUGCCAUGGAAGUAAGAAAAGGGAUGCUGCCCAUCUACGUGUAUCUCAAACUCUUCAUAUUAAUACUUACAGUUUUGCUCCUAGAGUCCAAAAAGAAACUUGGUCGCCGAUUCAGGGGCCGGAAAGGAAUUUUCCCCAAUUUUUCCCACAAAGAUGGGUUUUUUAUUGGGUUUUCGCCUUUCCUAGGAGCAAUGAUAGCUAAAUGUCAUGAUUUCAAGAUGAGCCUGAUGAAUUAAAGGUAAUCACAAUUGGAAGCUGAUACUUUUGACAUGUAUACAUACAACAUUUUAAUUAUGUAUUUGCCCCCAUUUGCUUAUUUUGGACUUCAAACACUUUGUGGGCCAACAUUUGCCAGUUUUAUUGUUGGGGCAUUAGGAUUGCAAGCUUCUGAAUUUAUACAUCGAUUUAUGGGAUUUGUAUGAUGAACAUAUUGACCUAAAUGGUUCUGCACUUAAUUGCAAGCUAGAUCAGGAGCGCAACCUUGAUUUGGAGAUAUAGUUUUACUUCAAUCUUGAUAACAUCAUGCUAGCCCUUCAUGCCAUAUUUGAGGGCAUCUGUUUAGCCAUGUUCUGAGCAAGUUGAAUAAUGAUUGCUACCCUAAAUGUUUUAUCGCGUGCAUUUUCUGCAAGUUUACCUUACAUCUUACCUCCGUGUUUCCAAGUGAUGGAUUGUUUGUGUAAGCGUACCCAUGAUUUUCUGGCAAGCAUGCUAAUGAUUUCUGCAGUUAUUAGCGCAUUCUUUGAAUGGUAAGACUAGCGUAUGAAUUUGUUGUAAUAGUGAUGUUCAUCUUCCUCAAUUUAUCUCUGCGUACUUAAUUAACAUUCUUACAACCGUGUUUCAUGGGUUUUGUUCGGGCAAACAUGCCCAAGUAGUGGUGACAAAACGUGUCAUGGAUGUUUAUAAUUGAACUCAUUCUUUGAAACAAAUGGUCAGAGUAACACAUGUUGCAAUAUAUAUCUAAAAAGAAAAAGAAAAAGAAAAGGCAUUGAUCUUUCCUCAAUUAUAUUGUCUGCGUGUAUAUUUUGCACUCUACAUUGUUUCCAGGCAAUGGAUUGUUUGGGCAAGCAUGUCCAGGAUUUUGGGGCAAGCAUGCCAAGGAUAUGUACAAUUUGAAUACAAUCUUUGAGUUUAGUGAUGGUAGUUUGAACUUGCUGUAUUAUGCAAUGGUGGUUUACAUUAUAUUUGGGCAAAUAAACCCAAGUUGUUGGGGCAAGCGUGCCAAGGAUAUUUACAAUUUGAAUUCAAUCUUUGUGUCCAGUGGUCGCAGUUUGAACUUGUCGCCAUAUCUGUAUGUUUAUUUUGCAUUUUAUAACUACACAUAUUUCCAAGACGUGGGCUGAUUGCAUUUUGUAACUUUAUGUUUCGAACCAGUGGGUUGUUGUGGAAGGCAUGCCCAAGUUUUGGGGCAAUUAAGUGUACCAAGGAAUUACAAUUUGAACUCAAUCUUGAAGUCCAGUGGUCUGAGUUUGCAAUUCUUGCCAUAAAAGUAUCAGUUAUUCUUAAGUAUAGUUGCAUUCUAUUGAUUGUUUUGGGCAAGCAUGCCCAAGUUUCUGGGGCGGGUGUGUAAAGGAUACUUCCCAUUUCAACUGAUUCUUUAAAACCAAUGGUCAAGAGUUUGCUCUUAAUUAUUGCAAUAAUGUUAUCCAUUAUUCUUUGAUAUGCAUAUCUGCAUGUUAUAUUUUACAACCGUAUGUACAAGCAAGGGUUAUGCAGUGAUGGCGUCCAUCAUUCCUAAAUUUAUUUUUUGUAGGUUUACUUUGCAUUUUAUAAUUUCCAAGUAAUGAAUGGUUUGGGCCAGCAUGCCCAAGUUGAUGGGGCAAGCGUGCCAAGGACAUUUAAAAUUUUCAUUCAGUCUUUGAGUACAGUGGUUGCAGUUUGAUCUUAUUGCCAUUAUGCAGUGAGGGUGUACAUUAUUUCUCAAUGUGUUAUCUAUGUUUAAUUUGCAUUUUACAACGGUACAUGUUACCAAGCAGUGGGUUGAUUGGGCAAGAAUGCCAAAGUUUUGGGGUAAGCGUGCAAUAGGAUGUUUCACAAUUGAACUGACGCUUUGAAACCAAUGCCAGAGGCUGCGAUGCUUGCCAUGGUGGCAGUUAUUCUUACGUAUCCAUGUGUUCUAUUGAUUGUUUGGGCAAGCAUGCCCAAGUUUCUGGGGCAGUUGUGCCAAGGACAUUUCCAAUGAAAACUGAUUCUUUAAAACCAAUGGUCAGGGGUUGCACUUAAACAUUGCAACAAUGGUAUCCAUUAUUCUUCAAAAUGUAUUGCUGCAUAUUUUAUUAUACAACCAUGUUUACAAGUAAGGGUUUGAGCAAGCAUCUCAAAGUGUUUGUGGCAAGUAUGCCAAGGAUAUUCGCAAGUUGGGCUCAUUCUACAAAACAAGCAGUUGGAGAUUGCACUAUUUACAAUAACUGGCCAGGGUUCUUUUUCCUGAAAGUUUUAUCUGCAUGCUAAUACUUUGCAUGCUACAAAGGCAUUUCCAAGCAAUGGGUGGUCUGUUUUUAUCUUGUGGUGGUAAUAAUGGCAACUCAUUACAACUACGAUUUCAGGUAAUUUCAUUCCGUUGCUACACACUCCACUGUUUGUGUUUAAUUCGCUCGUCGGGGUUGGGCUCUAGGUGUGCUGCCUCAGUCGUCCCAGUGGGGCGCGCGUUGCGCGUUUGGCAGUAAGGUCCUGGGAGCGACGGGCAGUGCCUCAAUUCAAACUAAAUAAACAACUUGGGUAUUUAGUUCUGAAGUAAGACUUGGAAUUUGGACGUUAAACAUUUAACAGGUUGUGUUUACUCUUUGUAAAAAAGUACGCCAAGCACCCAUUUGUACUGAUGGGGCAUGCCAACCGUAGCUACGAGCGGUGGACCAAAUCGGGGUGCUUUUCCAAUUUAUUAAGUAAGUUUUGCAUAUAUUCAAGUCACGUGACAAAACUAAAAAACACUUUGGCUAGCACCCACUUGUUCUGGUGGGGCUAGUGAAUGGUUGGCAAGCGUGCCAAGGUUUUGGGCCCAGUGAUGCCAAGCAUGGCAAGGAGGGGCAAGCGUGCCCCGUUUUAUGGCAAGCGUGCCGAAAUGUUUACGCAAAUAACUUUAAGUAAAUCGAAAGAUAAUUUUAAUUGUUCCAGUAUAGUUUAUCAAGGUAUUCACUGCCAUUUAAUCAAGUUAAAUAUUGACCAUGGAGAAAUAAAAUAGCGGCUCAAAAACUAUGCCAAAAAGUCAA